GGAGAGAUGACCGAGAGGCCGAAGGUGCACGCUUGGAAAGCGUGUGUACCCCAACAGGGUACCGCGGGUUCGAACCCCGCUCUCUCCG
rnacentral:tRNA from 1 species